rnacentral:lncRNA from 1 species
UAGUGGCGUCUGAGAUGUUUCGGAAACGUUGGGUGCGCACCAGUCAUGCAAAUAUUUGAAGGAUAAAAAGGUUCCGAGUUUCGCUGGAACUUGUGUGAUGCGCUCCUUCUGAUGGGAUGGCUGGUUUGUCGUUUGCAUAAAGAAAUGUUGCUUGUUUUUUCUUCUAACGGACUAAGUAAAAGUGUUGUAGUAAGUUGCUCUGUUGUUUAUGAGAGCAAUCGUUGUUGCUGUUACAUGAGAGCCAUUUAAAAGUGUUGUAGUGUUGAUGCUUUUUUUUUAUCUGAACCGGACAAACCUGAGGGUGUAUUAUCAUGUUUGUAAUGACUGAAAUUCUAUGCUCACCCGAGCUCCUUAAUUCGAAAACAACUGUGACUCAUUGUGGGAUUUGUUGGUUCAGAAAAUAUUUGCUUAAUGACUGAAAUUCUGCAUGUUUUGUGGU